UGGGUUGUAACACUACAACUCCCAUGAUUCAUAGUGUUUGUUGUCUUCCUGUUAGGCGGCCAGUUCAAGUUGCCAUAGCAGACGAUAGCGGUAUCACAAGUUGAUCAUCCGAAAAUUGUCUAACAACUGGGCAUUCGGGUAUAGUUUAAUGUACAUUAACGUUACGUGUCUUAUAGUUUAGCAGUUUUGUGAUUCGAUAGUCUACGCUGAGGCAGUACUUUUUAACUAUAAACAAAAAAACAAAUACAAAGCUAACUAACGUAGCUUGAUCUUGGUAAUUUAACAUUAACGUUAACUCUCUGUGGCAUGUUAAUGUUUACAGGAUCUUUAUUUCACUAGACUUCUAAUUAUCCAUCUUAAAUAUUUUUUUCAUAAUCUGGAGAAUUUAUACGCGUAACAUUAGUUAAGACAGAUAUAUAAUGCACGUUUUACGAAUGACAAAGGUGUUUAUUAUAUUUUUUAUAUACGUUAGCGUUGCUUAUUUCUAGCCCCUGAUUCAUGGCAGUAUGGACUCCUCCAGUGAAUCUGGCACAUAUAAUAGACCCAGAGGGCAUCGAUGGCGGGCUAGGGAAAGGUCAGACAGUGGGUUUCCAAGGGAUACACAUGUAUCAGACAUAUCGGUCAAAAUCGACACUUUAGCAAACACUCUCCAGGAUACAAGCCGAAAUCUAAACAAAGUGGAUCGGAUGUUGGAACAGUACAAGGAACACGCAGAUGAUCAAGUUGAAGCCAUGGCGACGCUGAGAGAGAGCUUAGAGGAGUCAGUCCAGCAUCUGCAGGGACAGCGUUUGAGGAAGUCUACCAGUGGGUGGAGAACUUCGAAUUCCAUACUGCAAACAAGUGACUUGGAGGAUGGCAGCGCCACAGGUACAGCAACAUGAGAUGUAGCUUCUCUUUAUAUAUAUAUAUAUAUACUGUAUAUGGGAUGAAAAGUUUUCACCAAAAUAGAGAAACCGUUUCUAAGUUUUUAGUGUGCACAAAUAUUUUACAGUACUUUAGAAAUGCUCGAAAAUGUAUCUGUUAAUGUAUUCAAUCAAUUAUAUUUGAUUAACCAAAGUCAAUUUCACGUCUGUCACAUCCAUAACAGAGAGAUGUCACAUCCAUAAA
rnacentral:lncRNA from 1 species